rnacentral:rRNA from 1 species
UACGUAGGGGGCAAGCGUUGUCCGGAAUUACUGGGCGUAAAGCGCGUGUAGGUGGUAGUGUAAGUCUGGCGUGAAAUUUUUCGGCUUAACCGGGAAAGGUCGUCGGAUACUGCACAACUAGAGGACGGUAGAGGCGUGUGGAAUUCCGGGUGUAGUGGUGAAAUGCGUAGAGAUCCGGAGGAACACCAGUGGCGAAGGCGACACGCUGGGCCGUACCUGACACUGAGGCGCGAUAGCAUGGGGAGCAAACAGG